UGGAAUUGUAACUUUGUAAGGAUGCAAUCUAAUAUGCAACAUGUUUUUCCCAACUUGUUAUGGGUUGGCACUUCUUGAUCUAUAUUGUGUCCUGUGCUUUGUGGUCAAUCUGAAUCAUGUGCUUCGAAACUCAAUUCUGUAACCAUCAAACCGAGAUUCAUAAAUCCAUAAUUACAGACCGAGAUUCAUGAUUUAGGUUUUCUUUUAUGCUUUCCUGAUAAUUUGAGAUCCAUGAUUCAGGUUUUAACUCUGAGACUUGUGGGUGGCCUUGAAUUAUGAGAAGCAUUCAACGUUCUAGCAGUUCUUAAGUCUCCUCACAUGAAUUUCAU
rnacentral:lncRNA from 1 species